rnacentral:rRNA from 1 species
UACGUAGGGUGCGAGCGUUGUCCGGAAUUACUGGGCGUAAAGAGCUCGUAGGUGGUUUGUCGCGUUGUUCGUGAAAACCUGAGGCUUAACCUUGGGCGUGCGGGCGAUACGGGCAGACUUGAGUACUGCAGGGGAGACUGGAAUUCCUGGUGUAGCGGUGGAAUGCGCAGAUAUCAGGAGGAACACCGGUGGCGAAGGCGGGUCUCUGGGCAGUAACUGACGCUGAGGAGCGAAAGCGUGGGGAGCGAACAGG